GUGUGUGUGUGUGUGUAUGUGUGUGUGUGUGUGUGUGUGUGUGUGUGUGUGUGUGUGUGUGUGUGUGGAGUAUGGAGUAUGGAGUAUGGAGUAUGGAGUAUGGAGUAUGGAGUAUGGAGUGGCAUUCUAUCCUUGAGCCCUUACAGGGAGAACUCAGGUUUAAGUUGACCCACACAGUGUGGUAUGUCUUCCUUUUUAUUGAUUUAUCACCCUCAGUUCUAGUCCUGCCUUUCUCAUUGAGACUUCAGGCGGGUUGAACAGCGCAAGAGACUUCAUAGCACCAGGAACGGGCUACCCGGUAAACUAAACCAGAGGGUUCAGAUGGCAGAAAUCUUUGAACCAGCAAAAUCUGAAACCAAGUUGUCACCAAGUGUGAGCAUUAGCACUACAUGUCGAAUUAUGCGGGUGUGAUGCGAAAUACCUCCACUGGAGACACUGGAGAGAGGCUGCCAGUCUGAGUAGGAAAUAUUACUGAGCGUGUGUGUGUGUGUGUGUGUCAAAGUUCCAGUUCAUUAUAAGGCCAGGUGUUCAUGUGCAUUCCAUCAACCUUUCAUUAUAGGUUUCAACUAGAAAAAAUGUAGACAUUUUGUAUUCCACAGUGUGGAGUAGGGUUGCAAGCUAAGAAAUUCCUGCAAGGGUGAGUUUUGGGAAGAGAGGGACCCCGGCCAUAGAGUCUACAAUGCCAUAGAGUCCACCCACCCAAAAAAGUCACUUCCUCCUCCAGGGGAGUUGAUCACCAUAACCCGGAGAUCAGUGGUAACUCCAGGGGACCUCAGUCACCAUCUCUAGGUUGGCAGACCCCUUCCACACAUUUAUUUAUUUAUUUUAUUUAUUUUAUUUAUUUUAUUUUACAUGCAGAAUAAAGCACUUUCAAUCCACGUUCACAAUUGUUUGCAAGUGGACUUUGCUAUUCUGCACAGUAAAAUCCAGCUGCAAAGUGGAUUGAAAGUGCAUUAUUCUGCCUGUGUGGAAGGGGCCAUAGUGUAGAGAAUAAAUAGAUCUCCCUCUUUUUUACACUCUUACAGGAGUCGAACGCAAAGAACUGGAUUCAGACGAUGGUCUAUUUUACGAAAGUGCUACCCCACUCGUGGAAAGAGUAAUUCCAUGAACGCACAGAGGACCUUUGAUUUCAACCCACACUCCUUUCAGGUGUGGAAGCCUUCUCUCUUCCCUUGAACGUCUUGGCCAGCGCGGGAUGGCCGCAGCAAUGGCAGCCGCUCCUGCUAAGCGUUUAAAUGAUGGCACCAUUACGUGAAGCGGUUUGGCAACGAAGGGACUCCAGCCAAGAAUUACACCUGCUCUCUCCUCUCCUUCAAAUCCCGACUUUGCCUGGCUUCUGCAGACGAUGAUUGAUUUGUUUGUGACAGAUGGGAUGGUUUCAUUUCCAGCAACGCCGGCAUCCUUGGGCUGCUGGCAACAGCUGGAGUGACAGGAUUCCUACAUAAUUCAAAACCAGUGGAAGCAUUUCUCCCCUUUCUGUUUACCGUGCGCGCACAUUUCAUUUCCAGGGUGAUUCAGUUUGCCUUCAUGGGAUCUGAUCUGCUGCUUUGACCUGUCAUAUUUUAUCUCGGUGUCGUUUCGAAGGUCCAUACGCCACUUCCCUUUGCUACCUUGCUUGUGGGGAAACAGAAAGUAAAUUGUUCCUGAGAAGAAGGCAUGGGUAAAAAAAUUUCACAAUACUAGAACCAGGGGGCAUUCAUUGAAAAUGCUGGGGGGAAGAAUUAGGACUACUAAAAGGAAACACUUCUUCACGCAACAUGUGAUUGGUG